AUCUUUCUUAUUGUAGGCUUUAUGCAUAUUUAUGGAAAUAUGCAUAAAGCCUACAAUAAGAAAGAU